GCUCAGGCAGUACCUCAGGAAAAAGCUGAUGCCCUCAGGCCUGACUUGAUAUUGCUCCUUCUGCUGAAGUGACAGCUCCUGGGUGAUGUGUGACAUAGCACAGCCAAGAAAUCUGUACGUGGGAUAUGUGUUCUCCAGGAGGAGGUUUAGCAGCAGCACUGUCCUACAUUUUUCACUUCAUGGGGGAGGAAGAGUUUAUGAGGGAACACUGGUUGGCAACAGAAGCAUGCUUCCAGCUGGAGUCUAAUGAUAAAACUCAGAAAUAUGUUGCAAAAAUAUACUGCAAGAAGGGAAAAAGGGAAAUAGCCUCAGGAGCUAUCCCUCUGUUGUGAACUGUGGCAAUGUAGAUUGCAUUGCAAGGGGUUAUGUGUCUGUGGCUUAUGACAAGUUGGUAAUUAUAAACUGAAGAUAACUCAGUGCACUGUUUAUAUAAUUUUUUUGUUACACUUGUCACAGAUAUUCACUUGAGAUGUGAUUCUAUUUAGGUUUGGCUUUUUAAUCAUAAUGUAUUCACAUUGUUUCCUGGUUUUUUUGUUUGGAAAAAAAAAUAAUCAGAAAGCUUGUCCUAGGUCAGGCAAUAGAGGCAAUUUUUCAGGACCAGAAUGCAGGCAUAGAUGUUUCUAUGGGUUUGGAAAGUUUCUUUGGGGUUGGUUUUGGUUUCUUUCCUCCUGAAGUAUGGCUCUCCAUAUUUCUUUCAAAUCAGACGUAGGUACUUAAUAAUGAAAAUUGAUAAUGUUUUAACUGCCAGGUACAUGAUUAAAAAUGUGUGUCAAAAUUUGCAGCUUAAGACUUCUCUGGACAAGCUCAGCAAAAUAGUUCACAGAUUAUGCUAGUUCAUGUUCACUCUAGAGAGUAUCUAUGGCAAAUUGUCUGAUUAUAAAAGUAAUUAUUAAACUGAUAUGGAAACUCUCUCUACUGUGGUAGCUUAAUUUUUGUUCUAAUUUGUUUGAUUUUCAUAUCAUUAAAUCUACAACAGUAUUUAAAAACCAUAGGUAUGGUAGCCCUGCUACAAGUUUCUCUAUAGCUCUAUGCAUUUGAGUGAUGAUGAGCAGUGAAAAGCCCAGAUGGUUUCUAUUUCAUUGUCCCCUUCAGUCCCAUCACAUGUCUCUGAAUAUAGGUGCUUGCUACUUGACUAUGCAAGAAAUGAUUGAAUAUGUAUGGCUGGAUUUUUUUAAUAUACAAAUUAGGUGUUACAGACAGUUAUGUUACCCUUGCAUGCAAGUUGAAAAAUGGAAGAAGGCAAGGAAUUUAUUUAGAGAAAACAGGCAAACAUGUCUGAAAUACUUAAAACAAAUGAACACGUAAGGAUAUUUUAUCAGAAAAUUCAAAAUUUGGUCACUGUGGACAUGACUAAAUGUAAGCAGGUCUGAAUAAAGGGCGAUCUUUGAGACACAAGCAUAAUGGACUUUUUUGAUGGUAAAGAGUGAAAAAGGAUUUUACAGUGUCAAAUAUUUUUGUCUGUUUGGACUUCCCAGAGCGAAAACUUUCUAUGUAGUUGAGAAGCAAACAAAAAUAUUUUUGCAUUGUUUUUUGUAAAGGCUUGCUUCCAUCAGCACUCCAUAAACAUCUGCUUGAAAAUGCACUGACUUAAGCAUUUAAUUUUGUGUCUUUCUAUACAAGUAUUGAAGAAUGCAUGUA